AAGCAAAAGAAUGUAGUACCUUCUGCAAAAAAACCCUCUAAGUAGUUGAGCACUCAACUUGAGUAAUUGUACCAAAAUUUCCUGUUUUCAACUGUACUCUUCAUAACAAUGUAUAAUUUAUUUUAUUUAUACCCCCUUGCAGACUUUUGAUCAACCUAUUUAUUUAUUAUUUUUUAUUUUGUCCACCCUGAACACAUGUUCCUGCACCAAAACAAAAAAUAAGUCGUGUCCAUUUUUGCUUGGAUAAAUACCACACAAUCAAUAAACAAUAAGUUAAGGCCUUAAUUAAUUUUGUCUUAAAGUUUUCUAUURUAAAAUAUAAUGAAAUGAAAUGGAAUUCCAAAAAUCCAUGUUAGAUUAGACUUAAUUCAUUUUCCCAUAAAGUACUUUUUACCCUUUAAUUUUGUUGGGUUUUAACUUAAUUAAUUAUUUUCCUCCAAUCCUAUGAGUCAUGACUCGUGAACACAUACAUGACACACAUACAAACAGGACAGGACAGUGGCCACACAUAUGGACACACAACACAACAUUUCUGCUUUAGUUAUUCUUUUGUCGAAUUUCACACCUGUUAAGAAGAACUUGAGAGUUAGUCAAAUUAAUAUUUAUCUGUGUUUUAGCUGAUCAUACCACUGCGUCGUGUCUACCUGUCGUAAUUCAUGCACUCUGUCCACACUCCCUGUUACCUGCUGGCUUCUUUCUACCUCCAUGUUGACAUUUCCUCUGGUGAGGUCUGCUUUUGUCCUCUUUUACUACUGAGUAAGAAUUGGGGUAUCAGGCCCUGUCGGCCCACAGGUCUUUUAAACAUACUGAGCGGGACAAAGGCCAUGAAUGAUGUAACUCCUGACAUCAUUAACUACUCGGAUAACAGACGCACAGACUAGACCUCAACAGUCACACUACUUAUAAAUCAGCUCUUUGCUUGUGAAACUAAUAUUCUAAAUACUUAACACAUAAUACAAUGGUACCACAACAACCAUCCAGCAAACUGUAAGAACAUCAACCACCUUCUGCGACUUAACAUGCCAGUUUCUGGCCACUGUUACCCACAAGAACAUCUUACGAACUUUAUCACUUUUUCUUAACUAACAUACCCAUUUCUGCACUCCUAAAGUCUUCUCACGAUCAAACUUGCCUUCCAUUUCUAAAUUAUAUAUUUAUUAACUGUAUUUAUUUUUAGGUGCUUAUUAAUUUAUUUGUUACACUUAAUCAGUUAAGUUAUGCUCACAAUCUCUCACACCAGCGUCCUCUUCAAGCGCACUUCUCAGUCCAGCACACACACCUUUACACAAAGCUACACACGCAGUUCAGUGUACCAGCAGUCAAACAAACAUAAAACACACAAGGGCCCUGUCAGUUUAUUAUGUAAGCCUUAUCACACUCAAAGCACACAUCAGCAGAGAGUCUGCCGAACUUGUCAGCUUCACAAUCACAAGUGAAACUUCUGUUCACUUUUCAAUCACCCCGCUG